rnacentral:rRNA from 1 species
CCUACGGGGUGCAGCAGUGGGGAAUAUUGCACAAUGGGGGAAACCCUGAUGCAGCGACGCCGCGUGAGUGAAGAAGUAAUUCGUUAUGUAAAGCUCUAUCAGCAGGGAAGAAAAUGACGGUACCUGAGUAAGAAGCCCCGGCUAACUACGUUCCAGCAGCCGGGGGAAUACGUAGGGGGCAAGCGUUAUCCGGAUUUACUGGGUGUAAAGGGAGCGUAGACGGCAGUGCAAGUCUGUAGUGAAAGGCUGGGGCUCAACCCCCGGACUGCCCUGGAAACUGUACGGCUGGAGUGCAGGAGAGGGAAGUGGAAGUCCUAGUGUAGCGGUGAAAUGCGUAGAUAUUAGGAGGAACACCAGUGGCGAAGGCGGCUUACUGGACUGUAACUGACGUUGAGGCUCGAAAGCGUGGGGAGCAAACAGGAUUAGAUACCCGGGUAGUC